AUUGAACGCUGGCGGCAUGCCUUACACAUGCAAGUCGAACGGCAGCACGGGAGCAAUCCUGGUGGCGAGUGGCGAACGGGUGAGUAAAGUAUCGGAACGUGCCCAGUCGUGGGGGAUAACGUAGCGAAAGUUACGCUAAUACCGCAUACGAUCUAUGGAUGAAAGCGGGGGAUCGCAAGACCUCGCGCGCUUGGAGCGGCCGAUAUCAGAUUAGGUAGUUGGUGGGGUAAAGGCUCACCAAGCCGACGAUCUGUAGCUGGUCUGAGAGGACGACGAGCCACACUGGGACUGAAACACGGCCCAGACUCCUACGGGAGGCAGCAGUGGGGAAUUUUGGACAAUGGGCGAAAGCCUGAUCCAGCCAUGCCGCGUGCAGGAUGAAGGCCUUCGGGUUGUAAACUGCUUUUGUACGGAACGAAAAGGUUUGGCCUAAUAAGCUGAGCUCAUGACGGUACCGUAAGAAUAAGCACCGGCUAACUACGUGCCAGCCGCCGCAGUAAAAC
rnacentral:rRNA from 1 species